AAUAAAGGCGUGCGACAGGUCUAAUACAUGCAAGUUGAAUGCGCUAUUACACAAAAGUGUGAGCGCAUAGCGAAAGGGUGCGUAACACAUAAGUAUUUACCCAUAUGAAUAGGCCAAAUCUAGUAUGAUGAAUACCUUGGAAAGCUUGUAAAGGUGCAUAUGGAUAAGCUUAUGUAGGAUUAGGUAGUUGGUGAGGGAAGGGCUCACCAAGCCGACGAUCCUUAGUCGGUCUUUACGGAUGAUCGGCCACACUGGGACUGAGACAAGGCCCAGACUUUUUUUGAAGGCAGCAGUAGAGAAUUUUGUACAAUGCGCGAAAGCGUGAUACAGCUAUGUCGCGUGGAAGUUGGAAGCCAUACGGCUAUACGCUUCCGCUCUUCUUAGGAGAAAACUGACACACUAAGAUCGAGAGCCCCGGCCAAUGCUCGUGCCAGCCGCCGCCGUAACAC
rnacentral:rRNA from 1 species